UACGAAGGGGGCUAGCGUUGCUCGGAAUCACUGGGCGUAAAGCGCACGUAGGCGGAUUGUUAAGUCAGGGGUGAAAUCCCGGAGCUCAACUCCGGAACUGCCUUUGAUACUGAGGAUCUUGAGUUCGGGAGAGGUGAGUGGAACUGCGAGUGUAGAGGUGAAAUUCGUAGAUAUUCGCAAGAACACCAGUGGCGAAGGCGGCUCACUGGCCCGAUACUGACGCUGAGGCACGAAAGCGUGGGGAGCAAACAGG
rnacentral:rRNA from 1 species